AUCAUUUCUCAGCCUUAUGGCUAAGAUCAAGUGUAGAAAAUAUGCCUCAAUUUCUAUUUUCUUGAGUGUUUUUAUCAGGAAUAGGAAUUGAGUUUUGUUAAAAGCCCCCCCCUUUUUUUUUUGCCAAGUGUGGUGGCUCAUGCCUGUAAUUCCAGCACUUCAGGAGGCUGAGGCAGCAGAAUU